rnacentral:rRNA from 1 species
AUACGUAGGGGGCGAGCGUUGUCCGGAAUGAUUGGGCGUAAAGGGCGCGUAGGCGGCCCGGUAAGUCUGGAGUGAAAGUCCUGUUUUUAAGAUGGGAAUUGCUUUGGGUACUGUCGGGCUUGAGUGCAGGAGAGGUAAGUGGAAUUCCCAGUGUAGCGGUGAAAUGCGUAGAGAUUGGGAGGAACACCAGUGGCGAAGGCGACUUACUGGACUGUAACUGACGCUGAGGCGCGAAAGUGUGGGGAGCAAACAGGAUUAGAUACCCUGGUAGUCCACACUGUAAACGAUGAAUGCUAGGUGUAGGGGGUAUCGACCCCUUCUGUGCCGCAGUCAACACAAUAAGCAUUCCGCCUGGGGGGUACGGCCGCAAGGUUGAAACUCAAAUGAAUUGGCGGGG